UACCGUUGAAUAUGUUCGGCAUAACCAUUCAAUUUAGAUGGUUAUGCCGUUGAAUAUGUUCAGCAUAAACAUUUAACUUAGAUGUUGAUGCCGUUGAAUAUAAUCGCCAUAACCAUUCAACUUAGAUGGUUAUGCCGUUGACUGUCUUCGGCAUAACCAUUCAACUUGGAUGGUUAUGCCGUUGACUGUCUUCGGCAUAGUUAAGUUAUCUGGGGUCGAAAAGUUAACUCGGGUCGAAAAGUUAAGACUAUAUAUAGCCUUACUUUUUGUCGAUUUUCACCCGUUUUUCA